GUGCUCCCUUUGGCAGCGCAUAGACUAAAAUUGGAACAAUACAGAGAUGAUUAGCAUGGCUCCAAUGCAAGAA
rnacentral:snRNA from 1 species